GACGAACGCUGGCGGCGUGCCUAAUACAUGCAAGUAGAACGCUGAAGCGAGGAGCUUGCUCUUCUUGGAUGAGUUGCGAACGGGUGAGUAACGCGUAGGUAACCUGCCUGGUAGCGGGGGAUAAUUAUUGGAAACGAUAGCUAAUACCGCAUAAAAUGGAUUAUCGCAUGAUAAUCCAUUGAAAGGUGCAAAUGCAUCACUACCAGACGGACCUGCGUUGUAUUAGCUAGUUGGUGGGGUAACGGCUCACCAAGGCGACGAUACAUAGCCGACCUGAGAGGGUGAUCGGCCACACUGGGACGGAGACACGGCCCAGACGCCUACGGGAGGCAGCAGUAGGGAAUCUUCGGCAAUGGACGGAAGUCUGACCGAGCAACGCCGCGUGAGUGAAGAAGGUUUUCGGAUCGUAAAGCUCUGUUGUAAGAGAGGAACGAGUGUGAGAGUGGAAAGUUCACACUGUGACGGUAUCUGACCAGAAAGGGACGGCUAACUACGUG
rnacentral:rRNA from 1 species